rnacentral:rRNA from 1 species
UACGUAGGGGGCAAGCGUUGUCCGGAAUCAUUGGGCGUAAAGAGCGCGUAGGCGGUCCGGUAAGUCGGUUGUGAAAACUGGGGGCUCAACCCUCAGAGGCCGACCGAUACUGCCGGGCUAGAGUCCGGAAGAGGCGAGUGGAAUUCCUGGUGUAGCGGUGAAAUGCGCAGAUAUCGGGAGGAACACCAAUGGCGAAGGCAGCUCGCUGGGACGGUACUGACGCUGAGACGCGAAAGCGUGGGGAGCAAACAGG